CAGACUGGCGGAGAACCACGUUGUCACAUUUACGACUGGGUUCAACUUCAUAAGCUCAUCAUCAGGGAUGCAAAACUGAGGCACGGCUUCUUGCUACAGACGAAGUUGACAGAAAACGAGAAGAUCGUGACAAAGCAUCACCUAGCAGCCAGGGCUGCAACAGGCCUGAGAAAUUCUUUCCGUUAGCUCUAAUGCUUCACCCCUCGGGAGUUACAUCUAUGCUCUGUUCCCUGUCACACGGAAUGACUUCUAGCAGGGAACAGGGAUGUUCACAGGAGCACAG